AACCGGAAGCGGUUCACAAUUCUUCGACCGGAUCGCUCUUUUGAAACCCAUACUCGCCGGAGCCCCAACUUUAAUCGCCGGAGACUCCACUUUCCGUUGCAACUCCGACGAGGAACUCGCCGGAGCGAUCUCCAAUCUUCCCAACUUCAAAUCAACCACUACGGGUUCUCGAUUCUCCAUAUUAACCCUUUUAGCCCUCUUUCUGGGUACAUCGGAAACAGAAACAGGAACAGAAACAUCAUCCGAUGUUUCUGUCAUCUUCCUCUUGUUACGACGUCGUACCGGUGCCUCGGUAACGCCGUCGUCGGAUUCUCCCUCCGGUUUGGGGAUAAUUGGGGUGCGCUUUGUUCUCUCGAGCUUCAGGUGUUCCGGCACCGGCUGCCGUUUCUGGCGGAAUUGGGCUUGUUCGAUGUGUACCGAACAGUACCCUCUACCUUCUACUACCGGCCGCUUGCACCGCCAACCUCUGCCGUCGGAUCUUUUGCAAAUUUGUUCGUUAGCAAUUUCAGCCAUUUGAUCGGAAUUUGAUAGAAUUUUGUGAUGGGAAGGAGGAAAUUGAGACUUUUUGGUGGAAAUUGAGACUCUUUGCUGGUGAAUUGUGGAGAAGAGAGUGAAGAAUGGGGGUUUAUGUAAGUGAAAAUGUAUCUUAUUACAUGUGUAAUAUAUAGCAUAUUCUAUGUAAUGUGAUAUGUAAGUGAAAACCAUGUGAAUAUGAAUGCAAUCUUUUUUUGC
rnacentral:lncRNA from 1 species